GCGAGCAAUGAUUAUCAGAAACAGGGCGAUCCGCUUGCUCUUAAUACUCUCAGUCAAGCUAUCGCAUCCUCUUUGAAUGGUCUUGCUUUAUUCUUCGCAGGCUGUUCGCCAAAAGAUCGCCAAAUAAAAGGAAAAUAUCACAUAAUGUGAAGUGUGAAUUCGCCGGAUACACUGUGCAUUGUUACGAUGGAAUGUUUUCUUAUGCUAACUUAAACAACAGUAGAUCUUAAUUCAUGACGUUAGGAUGGAACAAUAAAUUUAAUAUAUAUGAAUAUUUUCCUUUUGUGGAGCUUACCACUUCCGUACUACAAGCUGCUGGCAUCAGCGAUUAUUCUGUUGGAUCAUUCGUUUUUUGGAAUAUGAAAAUUAAUGUUGAUGCAAGCAAUAAAAGAAGUGCAGUUGAAGAUAUAUUGAAGCCUUCACUUUUUAUUGUGAUUAAUUAGAAUCGACUACGUCUGAAAAUAUAAGAGACAAACAUGGGGCUAGUGUGGGAUCAUCCCUGAUCGCUAAUUACGCCUGCCUCAAUAACCACUGAUGGAAGAAGUAAAGAAGGGAGAAGAUAAGAAAAUGGCUAAAUGAGCAGAUCAAUAAAUAAAAACUCAUUUUCUUGAGAGUUUUAUCUAGUUAUUUAUUUAUUUCAUUUUUUAUGCCUUAUUCAAGUCAUAAAAAAUUAAAGAAAUGCUUUGUGUUUUUUAGGCCUAAUUCUUGUCUGCCACAUUUAUACUUCGAAUGCAUUACAUUGUAUUUACGAAUUUCUGGAAUUACAUUAUGAAGUAGUUAAUCGUCAGAAUUACAAUAAGAAAUGUCAUUUAUUGAGUAACAAUAAGUCAAAAAAUCUGCAGUACUUCGAAAGCACUCUAUUGCAUUUUCAAGUUUUUGAAAUUACGUUAUGAAAUAGUUAUUCAUCAGAAAUGCAGCAAGAAAUGUCAUUUAUUAUGUAACAAUAAGUCAAAAAAUCAAUGGUACUUCGAAGGUACUAAAUUUUAUUUACAAGUUUUCGGAAUUACAUUAUGAAAUAGUUCAUCGACAGAAAUGCAGUAAGAAAUGUCAUUUAUUGAGUAAGAAUAAGUAAAAAAAAUCUAUGGUACUUCGAAAACACUAUACUGCUUUUACAAGUUUUUGGAAUUACAUUAUGAAAUAGUUAAUCGUCAGAAAUCCAGCAAAAAAUGUCAUUUAUUGAGUAACAAAAGUCAAAAAAUCUAUGGUACUUCGAAAGCACUAUAUUACAUACAAGUUUUAGGAAUUACAUUAUGAAAUAGUUCAUCGACAGAAAUCCAGCAAAAAAUGUCAUUUAUUGAGUAACAAAAGUCAAAAAAUCUAUGGUACUUCGAAAGCACUAUAUUACAUAUACAAGUUUUAGGAAUUACAUUAUGAAAUAGUUCAUCGACAGAAAUGCAGUAAGAAAUGUCAUUUAUUGAGUAAGAAUAAGUAAAAAAAAAUUUUGGUACUUCGAAAACACUAUAUUUCAUUUACAAGUUUUUGGAAUGACAUAAGUAGUUAAUCAUGAGAAAUGCAAUAAGAAAUGUCCUUCAUAGAAUAAAUGAAUAACAAAAAAAUCUUCAGAACUUCUAAAGCACUAUAUCACAUUUAUGAAUUUUUGAAAUUGCAUUACGAAGUAGUUAAUCGUCAGAUAUAGAGUAAGAAACGUCAUUUGAAAGCAUUAUAUUGUACUUAUGAAUUUUCUAAAGUUAUGUUAUGAACUAGCCUAUCUGCAGAAAUUUAGUAAGAUAAGAAUUUUUUUAAAAAAAAAUGAUACAAUUCCUAAAUUUACCAGCCCUUUCAAAGCUCCAUAUUGCUUUGAGGGAUUUUUAAAAUUAUGUUAUAAACAUAAAAGAAGCAGAGUAUCUUCAGAAAUAUAGCAAAAAAUAUAAUUUAUUGAAUAAAAGAGCGAUAUGAAAUCGAAAAAUGCAUCAGUACUUCAAAAACAAUGCAUUGCAUUCACGAAUUUUUAUAAUUAUAUUCUGUGUAGUUUGCUUUCAGACAAAUCAUUGAGUAAAUAAAUAGGUGAAAAAAAAUCGAACAGUGCUUCAGUACUUCAAAAUAUGUUGUAUUGAAAUUACGAUUUUUUAAAUUAUAAUUUGAAAUAUGUAGUUUAUUGAUAGUAAUGUACUAAAGUAUAGUCAUUUAUAAAAGAAAUGAAUUUUUCAAAAUCGAACUAUUGCA
rnacentral:lncRNA from 1 species